rnacentral:rRNA from 1 species
UGAGGAAUAUUGGACAAUGGGCGCAAGCCUGAUCCAGCCAUGCCGCGUGCAGGAUGACGGUCCUAUGGAUUGUAAACUGCUUUUGUACGAGAAGAAACACUCCAACGUGUUGGAGCUUGACGGUAUCGUAAGAAUAAGGAUCGGCUAACUCCGUGCCAGCAGCCGCGGUAAUACGGAGGAUCCAAGCGUUAUCCGGAAUCAUUGGGUUUAAAGGGUCCGUAGGCGGUUUAGUAAGUCAGUGGUGAAAGCCCAUCGCUCAACGGUGGAACGGCCAUUGAUACUGCUGAACUUGAAUUAUUAGGAAGUAACUAGAAUAUGUAGUGUAGCGGUGAAAUGCUUAGAGAUUACAUGGAAUACCAAUUGCGAAGGCAGGUUACUACUAAUGGAUUGACGCUGAUGGACGAAAGCGUGGGUAGCGAACA